UAGCCAAAGCUACAGAAGAGAAGAAUCACAGGAAACUCACCUGGAAGUCCCACCUUUCCCCCUCCUCCAAACCCCGUCCUCAGCACUCCACUCUUCCGUGAGGUCCUCAUCUGUGACCGGCUGGGACUUCAUGAAGAUGCAGUUGUUUUGGCCUUACCCACACUCCAGUAUAUAAUUCCAAGUCAGCCCACCAAAUGCAUUAGUUUUAAGAUGAACUUCAGUGGAGUCCUUGCCUUGGUUUCUCAUGUCUGCUCCUCUUGGGUGAACAGAAGCUUGUUCACAUCUCCCCAGAAGAAGUUUAUCACAGCAUUGGGAUUUCCAACACGAGUUGAUCCUGCCUGGGAACCACAUAAGCCUACCCACCCCUCAGCUGUUUUGGAAAUGGGAAGCCAUCUACUUGCUAGAACACACUUGCAGAAGGCAAUGAGGCAUCUAGUACACCAGGGCUUUGGAUUGUCCACAAAGAACCAAAAGGAACAAGCCAGCCCACGCUGGAACUGGUGGCAAAUAGAAUCCAGCUUCUCUCUUGAGUCUCCAGAAUCAACAUCAGUCCAAGGAGCACCUGAAAUCUGGCCUACUAAUACCUCCAAGCCAUCGAUCUUGGAAACAGGAUCUGUUAUGUUCUUGCCUGCUUAUGGGGAUUACUGAAGAAAUGGGGGUUACGGGGAAAUGUUUUGUGGCAGUGUUCCAUUACUAUUAUACACAAA